UACGUAGGGUGCAAGCGUUGUCCGGAAUUAUUGGGCGUAAAGAGCUCGUAGGCGGUUUGUCGCGUCGAAUGUGAAAACCCGGGGCUCAACCCCGGGCCUGCAUUCGAUACGGGCAGACUAGAGUUCGGUAGGGGAGUCUGGAAUUCCUGGCGUAGCGGUGAAAUGCGCAGAUAUCAGGAGGAACACCGGUGGCGAAGGCGGGACUCUGGGCCGAUACUGACGCUGAGGAGCGAAAGCGUGGGGAGCGAACAGG
rnacentral:rRNA from 1 species